rnacentral:rRNA from 1 species
UCGGGAAUUUUGGGCAAUGGGCGAAAGCCUGACCCAGCAACGCCGCGUGAAGGAUGAAGUAUUUCGGGUAUGUAAACUUCGAAAGAAAUAGGAAGAAUAAAUGACGGUACUAUUUAUAAGGUCCGGCUAACUACGUGCCAGCAGCCGCGGUAAUACGUAGGGACCAAGCGUUGUUCGGAUUUACUGGGCGUAAAGGGCGCGUAGGCGGCAAUUCAAGUCAUCUGGUGAAAUCUCCGGGCUUAACUCGGAACGGUCAGAUGAUACUGCUUUGCUAGAGUGCAGAAGGGGCAAUCGGAAUUCUUGGUGUAGCGGUGAAAUGCGUAGAUAUCAAGAGGAACACCUGAGGUGAAGACGGGUUGCUGGGCUGACACUGACGCUGAGGCGCGAAAGCCAGGGGAGCAAA